rnacentral:rRNA from 1 species
AUGCCCGCGGCCGUCGCGCUCCUCUGUCGAGGGCGCUCCGGCAAGCCGUGCUACAACCGGCUAGUAUAUAUGCUACAACCGCCCACGGCCGUGCUACAUAGCAACGACAGGAGCGAGACACGGCUGCCGGCGUGCCGUGCUACAAUCGAACCACGAGAAAGCUGCAAGCCUGCAACCGUGGCCUGGAAGGGCUGGAACCGGCAAGCUAUUGUGCUGCCAUCGGCUGUGCCGUGCGCUCAAAACUGGCAAGCUCCGGUGGCACGACCAUGGAGGACCGGUGUUGCUACAGGCUAUGCCAGGUGCUGGAACCAGCACGACAUCGAGCUGCAACCUGCCGACGGCGCUGCUACGAGUGGUGGGGCACACAACUAUGAGCGAAAAGGCGUGAUGCUACCAACGGCGAUCUGGGAUGCUGGAAUCGGCAGCGUGGAGAGUUGCAACCGGCGGCGCCAUAUGCUACAAGCACGCGAUGCGGGGAUGCUAGAAUCGUCUAUGUGGAGAGCUGCAACCGCCGCACCGUUUUGCUACUACCGGCAACCCAGAGUGCUGGAACAGAUGAGGAAGGAUGCUUCCACAGCGAGCCAGGAAGCUGCAACCGGAGAUGAAGUAUGUAUCCACGGCGAGGCCAGAGAGGUGCAACCAGCAGGGGGGCGGUGA